UACGUAGGGGGCGAGCGUUGUCCGGAAUUAUUGGGCGUAAAGAGCUUGUAGGCGGUUUGUCGCGUCUGCUGUGAAAUUUCGGGGCUCAACCCCGAACUUGCAGUGGGUACGGGCAGACUAGAGUGUGGUAGGGGGAGACUGGAGUUCCUGGUGUAGCGGUGAAAUGCGCAGAUAUCAGGAGGAACACCGAUGCGAAGGCAGGUCUCUGGGCCAUAACUGACGCUGAGAAGCGAAAGCAUGGGGAGCGAACAGG
rnacentral:rRNA from 1 species